GCUUGUUGGGCGUGUACGUAUAGGAUAUAUAGUGUCAAUAUCCAAGUUUUCAGGUAUAGAGGCUCAUAAAGAAUUUAGGAAAUAAAUUUUAAUCAGCUUAACCUAAUGUUUAUAAAAAUGGGAGAUGUUCAUGAAAUCUGAUCCAAUAAAAAUUAAAUUCAUUAAAAAAAUUUUUUGUUUAAAUUUAUAUUAAUCCACCUCCUAGCCGGCCGACAACAGCCUACGCCCUGUAAUUAAAACCGGCUCACUGGAUCAACUUUAUGCUAAAUAUGGUGUUCUUUUGUCAGUCUUAUUGAAGAUAUGAAAAGUAGUUUGCAGAAAAUUUAAUUUUAAACCUGCUAUGUGAAUAUAUGUAAUGUAUGGGUAAGGGUAGCUGUAUUUGAGAACAAAGAAACUUCUUCCAUAACACUUUGACGUGGCGUCAUUGUGUGAUUACGUUGACUGCGGGAUAGAUGGACACAUGGCGACAACAGCGGCAGAUAUGCCGUUACUUAAUAUUUUGGAAUCAUUAAAAAAAA